UAUGCCUACAAGGUGUUCAAUAAAAGCAAAAUGGUGGAUCUAUCACUUCUCUCCUCGUUCGGUCAGAAGGAGCAGCGAGACGGGAGCUGCGGAGAGCCGAGUCAGGGACAAGAAGCAGCAGGGACCGGGCUUCCGCUGCAGUGGAGUGGAGCUGCAGGGAGAGGAAGGAAGCACCAGAAUUGUUAAUUUGCUUGGGCACUCACCUGGGAUGUAGAUCUCUGGUUCCAGAGGCCGGAUCACCCCUUUCCUCUGAACCUUGUUCUGGAGCAAGAGCUGCAACAGAAGAUGGGAUGAAUUAACACAUGUUUCUUUCUGAUGCAGGUGAAGGAUGUCUGUGUGUGAUGUGUUGUGCUUGGUGUGCAGUAGUACCAGGGCUCCUAUCGCUGCCAGUACCCCGACAGUGAGGGCCAUGGCGCUGGUCGACCUGCUGUUCUCAAUCUUUCAGAACUCCAGCUUCGUCGCUUGGUGCUUCUCGGUGGGUUGCUCGUCGGGGUACUCCACCUCGACUUCAUGGUGGAGUAGUACCAUAUCCUGAAUCGUGGGAGCAAAGCAAACAUUUAGCUCAUCAUGGUCCAAGCCAUUCUCUGUUCAGAGUCGGGGACAAGAAGCAGCAGGGACCGGGCUCCUGCUGUAGUGGAGUGGAGCUGCAGGGAGAGGAAGGAAGCCGGUGACAGAAGAAAAGAAGUUGCCGGCUCUGGUUCAUCAUGGAGAAACAGCUGCUCGCCCUCCUCCGCCUCGUCUUCCCUAACCAUGGAUUCGUGAGACAAUGCCAACGAAUUGUCGGUCACGGGUACUGAGUCCCUCUCAUGUGAGGUAAUUUUAACUUCUCAGUUGGAUAUUAGUCAACAUCCUAAAGUUAGGAAUGUUCAGUAUCCCCAUAUCUAAUUUAUCUUCUUGGUUACCCUUGCUCCAUGUUCCUCUGCUCCCCCCUUACGUGUCGACAAUGGAGGCUUUACAUCAUAGUGCGAGGCAGUGGUGCCUGCAAUAAUGACGAGGAAGAGCUGCAUCCACU